rnacentral:rRNA from 1 species
GGUUAAGCGAAUAAGCGUACACGGUGGAUGCCUAGGCAAUCAGAGGCGAUGAAGGACGUGCUAAUCUGCGAUAAGCGUCGGUAAGGUGAUAUGAACCGUUAUACCCGACGAUUUCCGAAUGGGGAAACCCAAUAUCCAAUGGAUAUUAUCAUUAACUGAAUACAUAGGUUAAUGAAGCGAACCGGGAGAACUGAAACAUCUCAGUACCCCGAGGAAAAGAAAUCAACCGAGAUUCCCCUAGUAGCGGCGAGCGAACGGGGAACAGCCCAGAGUCUUAAUCAAUAGCAGCAUCAGGAGAACGGUCUGGAAAGUCCGGCAGUAAAGGGUGAUAGCCCCGUAUCCGAAGAUGCUGUUGUUGUGAACUCGACGAGUAGGGCGGGACACGUGUUAUCCUGUCUGAAUAUGGGGGGACCAUCCUCCAAGGCUAAAUACUCCUGAUUGACCGAUAGUGAACCAGUACCGUGAGGGAAAGGCGAAAAGAACCCCGGCGAGGGGAGUGAAAAAGAACCUGAAACCGUGUACGUACAAGCAGUAGGAGCCCCACCACUAAGCUAGUGGUGAACUCACAGCGAUUCUUUUGCAUGAUAAUGUGCGGUAGACGGAGCGAAUGCGACGUCCAACCAACAAAAUCAAGCAGAGGAGGCUUAGUGGUGGGGUGACUGCGUACCUUUUGUAUAAUGGGUCAGCGACUUAUAUUCUGUAGCAAGGUUAACCGUAUAGGGGAGCCGUAGGGAAACCGAGUCUUAACUGGGCGAAUGAGUUGCAGGGUAUAGACCCGAAACCCGGUGAUCUAUCCAUGGGCAGGUUGAAGGUUGGGUAACACUAACUGGAGGACCGAACCGACUAAUGUUGAAAAAUUAGCGGAUGACUUGUGGAUGGGGGUGAAAGGCCAAUCAAACCGGGAGAUAGCUGGUUCUCCCCGAAAGCUAUUUAGGUAGCGCCUCGUGAACUCAUCUUCGGGGGUAGAGCACUGUUUCGACUAGGGGGUCAUCCCGACUUACCAACUCGAUGCAAACUGCGAAUACCGAAGAAUGUUAUCACGGGAGACACACGGCGGGUGCUAACGUCCGUCGUGAAGAGGGAAACAACCCAGACCGCCAGCUAAGGUCCCAAAGUCAUGGUUAAGUGGGAAACGAAGUGGGAAGGCUCAGACAGCCAGGAUGUUGGCUUAGAAGCAGCCAUCAUUUAAAGAAAGCGUAAUAGCUCACUGGUCGAGUCGGCCCGCGCGGAAGAUGUAACGGGGCUAAACCAUGCACCGAAGCUGCGGCAGCGACACUAAGUGUUGUUGGGUAGGGGAGCGUUCUGUAAGCCUGCGAAGGUGUACUGUGAGGUAUGCUGGAGGUAUCAGAAGUGCGAAUGCUGACAUAAGUAACGAUAAUGCGGGUGAAAAACCCGCACGCCGGAAGACCAAGGGUUCCUGUCCAACGUUAAUCGGGGCAGGGUGAGUCGACCCCUAAGGCGAGGCUGAAAAGCGUAGUCGAUGGGAAACGGGUUAAUAUUCCCGUACUGGUGGUAACUGCGAUGGGGGAACGGAGAAGGCUAGGUUGUCCGGGCGACGGUCGUCCCGGUUCAAGCAUGUAGGCAGAGUGAUUAGGCAAAUCCGGUCACUUAAUGCUGAGGUGUGAUGACGAGCCACUAAGGUGGUGAAGCAAUUGAUGCCCUGCUUCCAGGAAAAGCCUCUAAGCUUCAGGUUACCAACAAUCGUACCCCAAACCGACACAGGUGGUCAGGUAGAGAAUACUCAGGCGCUUGAGAGAACUCGGGUGAAGGAACUAGGCAAAAUGGUGCCGUAACUUCGGGAGAAGGCACGCUGGCGGUAAGUGAAGUCCCUUGCGGACGGAGCCGAAGCCAGUCGAAGAUACCAGCUGGCUGCAACUGUUUAUUAAAAACACAGCACUGUGCAAACACGAAAGUGGACGUAUACGGUGUGACGCCUGCCCGGUGCUGGAAGGUUAAUUGAUGGGGUUAUCCUUAGGGAGAAGCUCUUGAUCGAAGCCCCAGUAAACGGCGGCCGUAACUAUAACGGUCCUAAGGUAGCGAAAUUCCUUGUCGGGUAAGUUCCGACCUGCACGAAUGGCGUAAUGAUGGCCAGGCUGUCUCCACCCGAGACUCAGUGAAAUUGAACUCGCUGUGAAGAUGCAGUGUACCCGCGGCAAGACGGAAAGACCCCGUGAACCUUUACUAUAGCUUGACACUGAACAUUGAGCCUUGAUGUGUAGGAUAGGUGGGAGACUAUGAAGUGUGGACGCCAGUCUGCAUGGAGUCAACCUUGAAAUACCACCCUUUAACGUUUGAUGUUCUAACCUAGGCCCAUAAUCUGGGUCGGGGACCGUGUCUGGUGGGUAGUUUGACUGGGGCGGUCUCCUCCUAAAGAGUAACGGAGGAGCACGAAGGUUGGCUAAGCAUGGUCGGACAUCAUGCGGUUAGUGCAAAGGCAUAAGCCAGCUUGACUGUGAGAGUGACGGCUCGAGCAGGUACGAAAGUAGGUCUUAGUGAUCCGGUGGUUCUGAAUGGAAGGGCCAUCGCUCAACGGAUAAAAGGUACUCCGGGGAUAACAGGCUGAUACCGCCCAAGAGUUCAUAUCGACGGCGGUGUUUGGCACCUCGAUGUCGGCUCAUCACAUCCUGGGGCUGAAGUAGGUCCCAAGGGUAUGGCUGUUCGCCAUUUAAAGUGGUACGCGAGCUGGGUUUAGAACGUCGUGAGACAGUUCGGUCCCUAUCUGCCGUGGGCGUUGGAAGAUUGAGAGGGGUUGCUCCUAGUACGAGAGGACCGGAGUGAACGCACCACUGGUGUUCGGGUUGUCAUGCCAAUGGCAUUGCCCGGUAGCUAAGUGCGGAAGAGAUAACCGCUGAAAGCAUCUAAGCGGGAAACUUGCCUCGAGAUGAGUCUUCCCUGUCACCUAGAGUGACCUAAAGGAACGUUUAAGACUAAGACGUUGAUAGGCUGGGUGUGUAAGCGUAGCGAUACGUUGAGCUAACCAGUACUAAUGAACCGUGAGGCUUAACCUG